UAAGAUCAAAAUAUGAAUCUCUAGAGAGGACCCAAAGGCAUUUUCAAGGAGAAGAACUUGAGCCACUUAGCUUUAAAGAAUUACAGAGCCUCGAGAAACAACUAGACAUAACUCUCGCACUAACUCGACAGCAUCAAGCGAAGAAACUCAUGGCCCGAGCGGAUGAAUUACGCGAAAAGGUAUGCAAUAUUUAAACUUCAAAUAUUAAAUGAGGG